rnacentral:rRNA from 1 species
GACGAACGCUGGCGGCGUGCUUAACACAUGCAAGUCGAACGGAAAGGCCCUGCUUUUGUGGGGUGCUCGAGUGGCGAACGGGUGAGUAACACGUGAGUAACCUGCCCUUGACUUUGGGAUAACUUCAGGAAACUGGGGCUAAUACCGGCUAGGAGCUCCUGCUGCAUGGUGGGGGUUGGAACGUUUCGGCGGUUGGGGAUGGACUCGCGGCUUAUCAGCUUGUUGGUGGGGUAGUGGCUUACCAAGGCUGUGACGGGUAGCCGGCCUGAGAGGGUGACCGGCCACAUUGGGACUGAGAUACGGCCCAGACUCCUACGGGAGGCAGCAGUGGGGAAUAUUGCACAAUGGGCGGAAGCCUGAUGCAGCAACGCCGCGUGCGGGAUGACGGCCUUCGGGUUGGAAACCGCUUUCGCCUGUGACGAAGCGUGAGUGACGGUAAUGGGUAAAGAAGCACCGGCUAACUACGUG